GUCCCUAAAACACAAACUCACUCUAGGGUUCCUAAUCACAUUUCUCCUAGCCGCCUCUCUCCCAUUUCCCCUCUUGGACAAUAACCCAAACCUCCAUCACCAUUAGCAGUGUUUGUUACUCCAUUUUAGUGCAAGCUUUGUACAUAUUUUCAGUCGUUCCCUAGACCUCCUCUUUCUUCUAUUUUCGUGAAUGAUGGCAUAUCAAAAUCAAGAGGAAAUCAAUCCCAAAUCUCACUGUUUCUAGCUAUUCUUGGACGAAUCAAAUAUCAACAACUUUAAUCAAAAUCUCAAACAUUCAAAAUUUCAAAAUUGUUUGACCAUGCUCAAAUCUGAAAGGAAAUCCCGUCAAAAAAUUGAAGCCCUAGACUUUUCUUCCGAUAAAUACACCUAAAACCUUCAGCCGAAGGGACAUUCUGAAAGGUCGAAAAAAUCAUAUUUAUACUUUUAAUUUUUGUACUCUCUCUCUUUCUCUCAAGCUUCAAUUAAAAAUCCAAAAGAGUAGAUCUGAAACCUCAAAGUCCUUUGUUCACUGCCCCCCACAAGUUUCCGCAGGUUGUUAAGAAUCAACUCAUCUCUUCUGAUUCCUAUCUCCUUAUUUCUUUUGUUAUGUACACCUUGGGAGCAAAUUGGAGCCUUCAUAAGAGACUCUUUAUCACCGCUAGGAGUCCUGCUCUAAGACUCGACAAUGCCUUGAUAUUAUGUGGAGUCAACAUCGUUUCACAUUCUCGUGCUACCUGAGACCGCCACAAGAAAAUUAUCCCUUUAGGAUGCUGGUGAAAGAGUCGGACAAUUGCUCUUUUGAAUUUUCAUAUUUCUUGUUUCCCAUUAUUUGUUUUUCAUGAUUUUUCCCUCUAAAUAUAUGGUCGUGUUGGGACCUUAUUUGAUAUGUGAUACUUUAUAAUUGGCAUACUUUUUAUCACAUAGGAAUAUAGCACCAAAUUAUGAAAA